CCACAUUGACGUGCGUAGCCCAUAUGACUUAACAUUUGGUGUUUUUCAGCAAUAGAAAGAAAAUAAUACAUACAAUCACAUUCACAUCACAUUCAUCACAUCUGAUAAAAACAUGAUUCAUUAUUGAAUUCUGCAGGACAAUAAUGCAAUAAACAUAAAUAAUGUUGAUUAUGCAGAUAGAAAUUUACACUCACUCUUAAGUACUGCACCAAACAAAUAAACAAACUGUGUCACAAGCCAGUUAUAAAUCAUUAGUUAAACUAGUCCUUUUGGAAAAUUUAAUUAGCCAAAUUAGGAGUUUUCAAACUGUUAAUACGUAGGUAUUAAUACGUAACUUUCAAAGACACAAAACGUACAUUUUUGUACGUUUAGAAAGGUGCUAAAACGUACAAUAUUGACGUAAUUAUGGCACUAAAACGUAAAAAUACUUACGUUUUUACAGCGAAAAAACGUAAAAUAUUUACGAAUCUUAUCAUGUCUUAAAGAUAUAUGUAUAAUUUCCCUUUUAUCGUUUUGUAGAUAAAUGUAAGAUCCCUAAACCCCAUCCCGAACCUAAACCUACCCAUUUUAUACAGAAUGUUAAAAGAAUAAAACAUAAAGAACAGAAAUGUGUAGGAAAAUGACAAUUUUAGUAAAAAUAUAACAUUAAAACGAUAUUUUGAGCCACUAAUCCUACACCUACCCCUAAACCUACCCAUAACCAUUUCUUUAAACUAUCUACUGUUAUAAAAGAAUGACAGACAAACAAGCGUAAUCACAAUAAUUUAUUUAUUUUUGCGAAAAUGUCAAAAGUGGUACCAAAAGUAGUUAAAAUGAUGAUGAGUUCCACUCACAGUCCUCUCUGGCGGUAAUAGUUUUUUAUAGGGUACAGAGCAGAAUUUAAUUUAUUAAUCCAUGAAAAUAUGAUGAAUCCGGCUUCUCUCCGUGAAGGCGCGCACUCAUUUCAAAUGUCAAUCCACUGAAACACGGCAUGUCGCAAUCUGUGACGAAGCAGGUGAGAACCAAUGAGCGUUCGAUAUCAGUGCCGUAAACCAUAUCUCGUAACGCUUCUCGAGGGUGGCGCUACUUUCAAAUUUGAAUCAUAACGAGCGCGAGCUUUGACUGUGACUGUUGCUGUUGCUGAGAAUGAAGAUGAAGAUCGAUGGAUAAAGGGCUGAAUUUGGAUCUGUUCCUUACAAACAUAUGGAUUCUAAAGAUUGGGAGUACAGCGAACAAAUAAAAUUGAUGUGAUUUGUGAAUUUAUGCUGUGUUUUGGUGUAUCUUAUGGUUGUAUUGUCAGUCACUGCAUAGGAGAAAACGCCUUUCUGUGUCUCACAGCAAACAAACUAAAUAUUACAAAAUGGUUAAACAAGUACAGAAAAUUUAUUCGUAAGGUUUUAAAUUGUAGUCUUGUUUAACAUUAUGCAAUCCUCCGAAACGAGCAGCACAAGUCACGAACAGAAAUGUUAUUUCAUAUUAAGUAGAUGAGUAAGCUGCUUUCAAUAAAUUUGACUAAAAACAACAUUAAAUCAUUAAAGCCACGAUUUUAAUAUUAAUACAUGGGAAUUCAUAUACAUUCACACUUUACGUUACAUGAUUUACGUUUUUAUUGCUGUUAAUACGUAAGUAUUUUUACGUUUUAGUCCUCUGAAUACGUCAAUGUACGUUUUUGUGUGUAUGAAAACGUAAGUAAAUGUACGUGUGGUAGAACCACAAUUUACGUAAAAAUACACACGUAUUCUCAUGAGAUCACGUUGCAAAAACCGCAAGAUUCCGCAAAAUAUUUUUUACCAUUAAUAAAACUCAAUAUACACACAGAUAUGCCUACAUAUUUAUUUAUUUACAUUAUUUAUGGCAAAACCCCAGGAUCUCUUUUAGCCACCAAUAAAAAUAGUAAAUAUAAGUCACUAUAGUGUUUAGGGUUGGGUAUCGAGAACCGGUUCCACUUUAGAACCGGUUCCAAAUUUCAAAGAACCGGGUAUUCGAUACGAUGCGCGCGUUUCGAUUCUGUUUAUCGAUUCCUGACUUUUUUCAGUCAUUCUCGCACGGUGAACAGCAGUGAGCAUUUUACAGUUGUAUCUAUCUGCUAGGACCUGCGACAAGGACCUCAUCUCAUCACGCACAUACGCAGUUCAUUACAAUCGGCACUGACUUUUGCUUCAACACGGCAUUAAUCUGAAGGAAUGCACUGUGUUUGGGGCCGUUCACAUGUCGCGUCUAAAAACGCGUGGAAAGCGCCACUUUCUCCUCCUUUCCAAAGCGCUUUCGCUCCUGUGGCGUCUGUCGUUGCUAUGCAACCAUGAACUGCGCUCUGCAAGAUGACUAGGAAAUAUCAGCAAAGGAUUAAUUGAUUUCUAGCUCUUGCAUUAGCUUUACUAGAUAUAUUUAUGGAGAUGAGAAAUAAAACCCGGCUAAGCUUUUGAUGUUGUUACGGAAAGGCCGAAGCUGAUCGGUUGGUUCUUGUCACAUGACCUGCGGUGCGCUUGAGGCAUUCUGAAAAGCAUAUAGGCGCGCCUGGAAACAUUUGAAAUAACGAACAUUUGAAAUAACGCGCCUACAUUUGAAAUAACGAACUGUGAACUCUAACCCAGCCGCGAGUCCUAAAGCACCAGAUACAGCUUAGCAAUAGCAGCGUCUCUCACUCAGGUACAAGAACAGUUACAGCCUACUAGUUAUAGCCUAAAUGUGGCAAGAAUAAAGGGUAAAAACAUUAUUAUUAUAUUCUUAUUAUUAUCUUAUUAUUAUAUUCUUGAAGUAUGCUCUUUUUUUCUCUCCAAAAAAAAAAAAAAAAAAUAUUGGAAUCGGAAUCGAGAAUCGAUAAGAAUCGGAUUCGAUAAGCAGAACCGGAAUCGUUAAAAUUAAAACGAUACCCAACCCUAAUAGUGUUAUAGGUUGGCUACUAUAGGGUGUUGCGGGUAGUUUUCCAGGGCAUUGGAUUUCAGGAUUGUUACUUUAGGGGCUGGGUCAUACAGUAUUUAUUUCACGUUAACUAAUUUACAUGUAUUGGACCCAAAUCCCAAUGUGUAGCUAUAAACAACAAUCCUAGAUUAUUGAUUAAAAAAGUGUAUAGUGCAUUUUUUCGCAAAAUAAAAAUAGGCUCAUUGCCAAAACUUUACUUGCUUUUACCCCCAAGAUGAGAUCACUGUUGCGCAGUGAAAUUUUGUGGGCAAAAGCAAAAAACAAACUUAAAUCCUUGAUUGUUGAUUAAAAAAAAAUGUUUUGAUCAUCAUGAAAUCAAAACUGACAGUUCUUAUUUUGUUUGUGAAAGCAUGUGGGUACUGCAUUGAGUUCUUUAACAUAAAGCACGUCCUGUGCUUUAUUUUCUUAUUCAUGCCACAAGCUAGUUAUAACUCAUUAGUUAGUCCUUUUAGAAAAUUUAAUUAACCAAAUAAGGGGUUUUCAAACUGGGGUCCAAAAAACCACAAGCAGAUGAGAUUCUGCAAAAUGUCUUUUACCAGUAAUAAAAACUCAAUAUACACACAGAUAGGCCUACAUACAUACAUACAUACAUAUUUACUUAUUUAUUUUAUUUAUUUAUUUUAUAUAUUUUGUGGCUUCAUCCACAAUCGGAUUGUUGAAAGACCAGGCAUCUAUGGACAGGCUCUGCGACAGACAGUUAGAUCAGUCUCUGAAGCAGCCAGUGGAUAUGGAUUAAGCGGAAGGACCCUUGUUGGGCUCAAAGAGCAUCAACAUGACCCGCUCACUAAAAUCCCCCCACCCCAUACCCAGAGAACCCAGGUUACAACCCUCCAGGAGGAGGUGAAAGGUAUGCGGCUUGCUCUAGGCUUGACUCAGGGAAGAGGACGCCCCCUGCCUUGCAUAGUCCCGUGGGCUGCGCCAUUUAAACAACCAGGCAAUUCUCAUGAUUGGACAUGGGACACAAGCUCAGGUUUGAUCACCCUGUAGCUGGCCACCUUUGAUGAGAGUGUCUAGUGUUGAAAGGCCGAAGCACCCCCUGAUUCAAAGGCACACUACUGAUGAUGUGUCCCAAAAUUUACAGCUUUGAUGAUGUGUCCCAAAUUUACAGCAUUCCCACGUCUGAGAUACAGCUCUCACGCCACUCUCAACAUCAAGGCAAACCUCAUGUGCAUACCACCCAUUGGCACAAAGGACAGUUUACCAUCACAUCCUGUGUUUCAUGAUUCUUCUUUAUUAUUUAUUUAUCUAUCUAUCUAUCUAUCUAUCUGGCAAAAACACAGGAUCUCAUUUAGCCACCAAUAAAAAUAGUAAAUAUUAAUAUAACUGUGUAAAAAUAGUAACCAACAGCAGAAUGUAAUCAAAUAAUAUAUUAUUUUGUAAAAUUAUUAUAAUAAACAUAUAUGGCUACAAAAAAGAAUAUGUAAAAUGCAGCACAGAAUUUUGCAUAGGGACACAAAUGAAUCUAUGAAUCGUUUCAUUCAACUGGUGCAUUUAAAUGACUCGUCUGAUUGAACCGGUUCACAUGAUUUGGAAUUUUGGACUUUCCAGAGGAAGUGGACGUAUAGGCCAACACGGUAGGUGUGGCGUUUUAUCACAUUACACUGCUACUUUUUUCAGAAAAGUAGCAUAUUUCUGGAAAGCUACUGUUAUAUAUACUUCUGAAAUUGAAAUCAUAAUCGUCGCUACUUUCAGUUACUCCACCACAAAACUGUCAUGAACUCCAAACAAGAUCGAGUUCCCAUUUACACGCAUUAUUUGACUGACAGACCGCAACGGUUGGAGUUAAAAAUCAUCAUUUGUGUUCUACUGAAGAAACAAAGUCACCUACAUCUUGGAUGCCCUGGGGAUUAGUUUGCCGUGACUGCCAGACAGGAACUGAUGGGAUUAACUGCCAAAAGGUGUGGGACUGUCUAGUGUCAACUUGCCAUAAGUCAUGUUAUUUGAUAAAGAACAAGAAGAUGUAGGGGUUUUCCCAGAAUCUGGGCAUUUUUUCUACCCAGACACUUAAACAAUAAUAUAUUGAUUACACGCUGGAUCAAAUUUAUAAGAUGUCUAAAAGGGUCAAAAAACGUUCAUAAUAUAGUCAUGUAAGUAAUAAAGUGAGACUGUUCAGGUACUUUUAAUGUUAUGCCUUAUAGAAGGCAGAAAAACUCUCUCUCUCUCUCUCUUUCUUUGUGUCUACACUUUACAAGUGUAAAUCAUUACUCUACAAGGAAGAAGUGCAUGUUUUCCCCUUAGUCCAUAAUCUUCAUUGAAGGAAAUGGGAACUUUGGCCAAGACAAUAUUUUCAGUUGGAGUGACUCAGACAUACUUGUUUAGUGUGGGCUGGUGUGUGUAUACAUCAAGUCCAUGUGCUUAGUGUCACUGUUUUCUUAUUAUCAUGACAAAUCUGCACAGUCAAACGUGAGUGUGUGCAGUCAUUUCUGCCGAAUCCAACCCUUAAAAAUGUAUUUCAUCAGUUUAAAUAUAAUCCAUUUGAGUCAGUAUUUACAAUAAGAUGUCUGUCCUGAGUGAAGCCAUGAAGCACCUUUUUGUAGGUUAUUAAACAGAAGAUUAGAGUUGGAUAAUUGCUUUCUAGGUGUGGGAGCUUUUUUUUUUUAAGUGGUAAAACGCAGAAAGUGUGCUUCAGAUGUUUACCUGUUUAACAAAAGCGUACUCAAAUUUGCUGUGUCAACCAUUUGAACACUUUAUACCAUCAUAUUCUUUCCAAAUGUAGUUGUGGAAUCCUGGAAUAUUUGUUUGGGUGAUGACUCUGGGCAUUUUUAAAAUGGAGAACUUACUGACUCUUAUUUGACAUACAAAUGUCCUUCUUUUCUUUUGAUUACACAAAGACAUGAAGCGCAUACCUGAGAAUUGCUUCUGUAUCAUUUUAUAAAGAUACAUCCUUUGUAAACUACAUUAUUGGGGACAUCAGCGAGGACAUGGUGGUGUCAGUGUCAGUGUGUGUGUUAUGAAAUAGAUAUGAAAUAGUUGUCUGUAAACAUUUGGCUCAGAGUACUUAGACAAUUAGACCACGAUUAAACAAUGCCUGAGUGCAUUAACUUUUCCCAGAACAAGCUUUUCUGAGACAUUUAGGCAUUUACUUUUCUGGACCCAACUGGACCCAAGGUGAUUUUCGUGAUUUUCAGUUUCCUUCACGUUCACAUUAACUAUGAAUAUGUUCCACUAACUGACAACCAGGAAGUGUCCAAGUACUUUUUGCCUUAAUUUUGAAUGGUAUAGCUAUUAUUUUCUAAUUUAAAACCUUAGAAACUUCUUUUUUGUGAAAUGUUUUUGCUUAAAGAAUGCUUGUGCUAUAUUUCGUUAAAAUAAAUGCCACUUGGUUUGAUAUUUUUCAAUGCAAUACUGUUUAGUAGAUACUCAUUUUGUUUGAAACUUUGACCAUUAAAAAAGUAUGUUUGUUUUA